rnacentral:piRNA from 1 species
UUCUGUUUGGCAUGGGGAAUGCA